rnacentral:rRNA from 1 species
AUUGAACGCUGGCGGCAUGCUUUACACAUGCAAGUCGAACGGUAACAGGGUGCUUGCACCGCUGACGAGUGGCGAACGGGUGAGUAAUGCGUCGGAACGUGCCGAGUAGUGGGGGAUAACGCAGCGAAAGUUGUGCUAAUACCGCAUACGUACUGAGGUAGAAAGUGGGGGACCUUCGGGCCUCACGCUAUUCGAGCGGCCGACGUCUGAUUAGCUAGUAGGUGAGGUAAAGGCUCACCUAGGCGACGAUCAGUAGCGGGUCUGAGAGGAUGAUCCGCCACACGGGGACUGAGACACGGCCCAGACUCCUACGGGAGGCAGCAGUGGGGAAUUUUGGACAAUGGGCGAAAGCCUGAUCCAGCCAUGCCGCGUGUCUGAAGAAGGCCUUCGGGUUGUAAAGGACUUUUGUCGGGGAGGAAAUCCCCAGCGUUAAUACCGCUGGGGGAUGACAGUACCUGAAGAAUAAGCACCGGCUAACUACGUGCCAGCCGCCGCAGUAA